rnacentral:rRNA from 1 species
GUGCCAGCAGCCGCGGUAAUACGUAGGGUACUAGCGUUGUCCGGAAUUAUUGGGCGUAAAGAGCUCGUAGGUGGUUUGUCGCGUCUGCUGUGGAAACGUGCCGCUUAACGGUGCGCGUGCAGUGGGUACGGGCGGACUAGAGUGCAGUAGGGGAGUCUGGAAUUCCUGGUGUAGCGGUGAAAUGCGCAGAUAUCAGGAGGAACACCGGUGGCGAAGGCGGGACUCUGGGCUGUUACUGACGCUGAGGAGCGAAAGCAUGGGGAGCGAACAGGAUUAGAUACCCCCGUAGUCC